rnacentral:tRNA from 1 species
AAUGAGAUGCCUGAUUGAAAAGGAUUAUUUUGAUAGGAUAAAUCAUGUAGUUUCGCUACUCUCAUUA